rnacentral:lncRNA from 1 species
UACCAUCCAGCCGUCCAAUUUUGAUCAAGAGAGGCACUCACCUUUUGAUCUUAUAUCCGACAUAUCAGAGUAUUUUUUUAUUAUUUAUUUUUAUACAAUUGUAUUAAUAUGAAAUUUGGUACAUGCCAUCUUCUCAUUGAGACGCACCCAUAAAAAAUGUUAAAAAUAAUUUUUUGAUAAAAUAUCACGAUCAAAAUACCCCUUGAAACUUUUAGGGGUAUUUUGGUAUUUUAUUUUAUUGAAAAUAUUUUUUUUAUAUUUUUCGCUAGUGCGAAUUUAAUAUAGGAAUAGACAUCCAAAAUUUGGUGUCAAAAUAGUUUAUAGAAAAAAAUUAAAAAUAAAAUAGUGUAGAAACGUAACAUUGUGAUUCGGACAAUCUUAGCUCUCCAUUCAAAAUAGACGAUUGGAUAAGGAAAAGAGAGAACUUCUAUGCUGUAGAUCAUAGAAAGUUUGCCCUUUUUAUAAUUUUAACUUCUAUAAGCAGGGACAAAAAUGGUUUUCAAGUCACCAUUAGUUUUUACCAUAAAACAAGUUUUAGAGGUGUGCCUUACUUCUACGGCAACCUUAUACAAACUUUGACCAAGUAAUAAGAGCUCCAAGCUCCAAACAAGUAGGAUUAGAGAGAGAGAGAGAAGAGAGAAAGGGUCUUGUUUCUUGAGAGAGAGUCAAAUGUCAUUUCCCGAGAGAGAUCACAUGGCUGCAGAUAUGUUGUCUUCAAUAGAUUAGAGAGAGUGAGAGGAGAAAGAAAAGAACACAUGGCUUCAAAGUCAGUGUCAAAACUCAAAAGGAUUAGAGCACAUGGCAACGAAAACGGAGAAAUAUGCAAAGAGGCCAUUUAUUUUUUCAUGACCUCAUCCAUGGUUCUCUCCUUGUAAGACGGGUUUUAACGUUUAUUCUGAUACCUCAAUCAUCAAAAUAACAUUAAUGCUAAUAAAAUAAUUUUUACAGUCAAAAUUUUGCAGAGUAGGGAUUUUCAAAUGAAAGAUUGUUUCAUGUGAGCUGUAACGCAUUUCUACAAUACACCAUCUAGAAGUAUAAAUAUUAAAGGUAAAUGCAAAGAGGUGGUUCAUCUAAAAACAAUGGUAAAACAGUCCAAAUGUUUUUUUGCUAUGAUUAUUAUUUCUAUUAUUUUUCAUAUUCGUGAUUUUUUAAAAAUUAAGAUGAAAUUAUAUUUAAAAAAUAUAUUUAUUGCCAAACAUGCAUUUCUACAAUAGGCGGGCUGACCGCAUAAAAACCGUAUCCUUUCCAAAUAUACUCACUAGAAUGAUUAGUGUUUGUAUAGGUAAAUAUGGCCUCACAAGAUCCCGAGUUAAUGCAAAAAAAAGGCGAAGAAAAAGAAAGAUACAACAUAAAGUUUUAUUAAAGCGUGGAGUACGACUUUAUCGACAUGCACAUACGGUAUAAAGGCCUAUUUGGAUGUACUUGUUAUCACUUGUAAUUUACUUUCAAUAAAAUUAUUCCUAAUAAACCAUUUAUUACAGGUUGUGUCCAUGAUAAAAGUAUUUAAGAUAUACAUAUAGCACUUUACAUAUAAGUUUAUCUUUUUAAAAAACCUUUUACUGAAAGUAAUCUGUUGAACAUCAAUUUUUUUACUAAAAAUAGCUAGAUAUUGCUGAAAAAUUAAAUAAUUGAAUAACGUUACGUAUAAGACAAGAUACAUAGCAAACAACCAAAGGAAAUUAUAUUAUCCAGAAUAUUUUUAUAACAACCCCUUGACCAGUUUUUCCAUUCUUUCACUCCAAAAUGAUUCAAAAUAAAAUACACCUGCUAUUUUUAAA